AAUGCCAAAUUCAAAGGAGUAUGC
rnacentral:siRNA from 1 species